CCCACAUACAGGAAGCCCCAUUGACUUCCAGAAGACAAUGGAAUAGUGAUACCAUCAUUUGGGGCACUCAGAGUGCCUCUUUGGUCAUUAUCUCCUGCUGGUCACAGGUCAGUCAGGAUGCCUGAGUCUGUCACCCACUUUGGCACAGGGAGACACUGAAAGCUCAAGCCCCCUUAUGUCCCCAUGCUGGGGAUGAACUCAGCUGUGCUUAAGUUCCCCACUUCUGCCCAUCUGACGAUGCUUCCCUGUCUUCCUCCCUCUGUCCUUUUCUCCGGCCUCAAAUCCUGACCUCACCAGACGCCCCUGCCUUCCCCCUUGGGCUGCCUGCUCUUUCCCUCUACCGUCAUCUGCCCACGACAAAGAAGCAAACUCUUCUUCCUCUCCCAGGAAUUCCCUCCAAGAACCUCCAUGCUACAGAGACAGACCGCAAGGACCCUUCUCUGCCCACACCUGAGCCCCAGGGAGGGAAGCACCUGGAUUCCAGACACCAGCUGUGCCACUGAAAAUACCCCCAGCCAUGGCUGGCUCCUUGUAAAAUGGGAAGGUGGCUUCAAAGGUGUGCCUUGUCGGGGUCUGAACUGUGAAGGAGUCCAGGAUGCAGGAAGAACCACAUUAGUGCUCCUCUCUGUGCUGUCUAGAUGCUGACACUCACCUUCCUGGGGCCUGGGCCGGCUGCUGGCCUCAGUUCUGGAUGCUUGGUGAUCGCCUGGUCCACGCACCACCUUCUUGAGGCUGGGCAGCUCUUUGGCAGCGCUGGUCUGCUGCAGCUCAGGCUGGGGGUGCGGGCUGGGCCAGAGUCUGAGCCACAGAAGGUGCCACGUCCUGGAACUGGGGACUGGGCUCCGUUUCCUUUAAGAGCUCAGCAGUGACUUUCAGCCCUUAGAGAAUAGCAAAGGGAUGUUCUUGAGAUCAUGCUUGUCUUUUUUUUUAAAGGAGCCUUACUCCAGCUCGAGCCCUGGUGCUCCCCCUCCCCUUGCUGCUGGGUGGAAGGCUUGUGGCCAUGCCAGGCCACGGGCACCAUCUCUUCCUCUUAUUCCUUCAGCUGCCUGGUAUCAAAGUAAGAGAGAAACUCACUUCGCCACAUCUGACAGUUGUGGAUGGAGAAGCAGGAGGCUAUUUUGUUGCAGGGUUUCCCUCUUCCUAGUGGGAAACAGCUGUCCACUCCUGCUGGGAAGAGCAGCCCUA
rnacentral:lncRNA from 1 species